AGAACGUUGAAUCAGCAUCCCAGUUCGAUCCCGAAUUCAUUAAGGUGUGUAUGGCGCGGUGUUGCUGACAUGGCGAGGCUAUUCGUGAGGCAUGACGCGAAGUCUUCCAGAAGCCUCACUGUUUGGGACUGCUGAUGGUGUUUGCGGUGCAUGGGAACGGUGGCUUAGGCUUAGUUUGGCAAUGCUUUUGAGAAGUGCUUUUGAGAAGUGCUAUGGAAAAGUGCUUUUGAGAAGUGCUUUUGAGAAGUGUUUUUGAGAAGUACUUUUGAAAAUUUUAAGUGUUUGGUAUUGCUGUCAAAAAGUGCUUUUGAGAAGUAAAAUGUCUAUUUUAGACAUGAUAUUAUAAAGUAACAAAUAUGUAUUUAUAUAA